rnacentral:rRNA from 1 species
CAGCCGCCACGGUAAAACGGAGGGUGCAAGCGUUACUCGGAAUCACUGGGCGUAAAGGACGCGUAGGCGGAUUAUCAAGUCUCUUGUGAAAUCUAACGGCUUAACCGUUAAACUGCUUGGGAAACUGAUAAUCUAGAGUAAGGGAGAGGCAGAUGGAAUUCUUGGUGUAGGGGUAAAAUCCGUAGAGAUCAAGAAGAAUACCCAUUGCGAAAGCGAUCUGCUGGAACUUAACUGACGCUAAUGCGUGAAAGCGUGGGGAGCAAACAGGAUUAGAUACCCCCGUAGUCCCUGUCUCUUAUAC